GCGGCCUAUCAGCUUGUUGGUGAGGUAAUGGCUCACCAAGGCAUCGACGGGUAGCUGGUCUGAGAGGAUGAUCAGCCACACUGGGACUGAGACACGGCCCAGACUCCUACGGGAGGCAGCAGUGGGGAAUAUUGCACAAUGGGCGCAAGCCUGAUGCAGCAACGCCGCGUGCGGGAAGAAGGCCCUAGGGUUGUAAACCGCUUUCAGCAGGGAAGAAAAUGACGGUACCUGCAGAAGAAGGUGCGGCCAACUACGUGCCAGCAGCCGCGGUGACACGUAGGCACCAAGCGUUGUCCGGAUUUAUUGGGCGUAAAGAGCUCGUAGGCGGUUUUGUAAGUCGGGUGUGAAAACUCUGGGCUCAACCCAGAGAGGCCACUCGAUACUGCAAUGACUUGAGUACGGUAGGGGAGCGGGGAAUUCCUGGUGUAGCGGUGAAAUGCGCAGAUAUCAGGAGGAACACCAGUGGCGAAGGCGCCGCUCUGGGCCGUAACUGACGCUGAGGAGCGAAAGCAUGGGUAGCAAACAGGAUUAGAUACCCUGGUAGUCCAUGCCGUAAACGUUGGGCACUAGGUGUGGGUCUCAACCAACGAGAUCCGCGCCGUCGCUAACGCAUUAAGUGCCCCGCCUGGGGAGUACGG
rnacentral:rRNA from 1 species